UAGGGAAUCUUCCACAAUGGGCGCAAGCCUGAUGGAGCAACACCGCGUGAGUGAAGAAGGGUUUCGGCUCGUAAAGCUCUGUUGUUAAAGAAGAACACGUAUGAGAGUAACUGUUCAUACGUUGACGGUAUUUAACCAGAGAGUCACGGCUAACUACGUGACAG
rnacentral:rRNA from 1 species